UAGCUGAGUGGUAAAGCGCUUGGUUUCCAGACCAAAGGGUCCCAGGUUCAAAUCCUGA
rnacentral:tRNA from 1 species